CCCUGAUGAAGUCGUACCUAAUCCUUUUAGAAUCCAGAUAUAUAGGCUAAAAUCAAUCGAUUCUGGCCCAUCUUGAAUCCCAACUAUUUCGGCUCCCAUCUCCUUCACAAACUCUCUCAUUUUAUUCUCUCGAAAACGAAAGUUGUCGACCCUGUCAUCCCCCUCAUCAGUCGAUGCAACCACCACCAACACUCUCCUCAUUCUCGAAUUUAUGUUAAAUAACUUGGCUUGCCCUAAUUUAAAUAUUUGCCCCCUCUUCACAUCGCCUCUGCUGGCAACUGCAUCUCUGGUUCUAUCCUUUUCUUUUAAUGCUUUGUUGAAGGCAGGGCGGGUGCCUGGUUUCACCACGAUGCUCUGUAUCUCAAACCAUAAGCCACAAUUUAUCGUCGACCCUGUCGCUACCCUAUUACCUCUCUCCAACCUAGACUUUCGUCGAUCAUUCACCACUAUCUCUACAACACCGCAUCAACAACACCAUCAUGGUUUCUUCCCUCUUACUGUCGCCUUCAAUCACUUGAAAAAGCCUUCUCUACCCUUCAUCAUUAACGUCACCACCACCAUAUCGAUCGCUCAUAUUCCUCUCUUGCACCAACGUCUUCGCAUAUGGCAUGGUUGUAGAGUACUUGAGCCUAUUAAGGAACAAUACUACAUCGUCUCUUAUGAUGAUUUCUAUCAGGUAAGGCUUUCUUUCAUCUCCUUUUUUUCAAUUAAUUUUUUUUUGUGCUUGACAUAAUCUUGUGAAUUAGUUGGCUUUUGUUAUUGCUGUAGAAUUUACUGUAUGACCUGAUGUUCCCUUCAAUCCAGUAAGAGAGUUUACUCUCUCUCUCUCUCUCUCUCUCUCUCUCUCUCUCUCUCUCUCUCUCUCUCUCUCUUAUUUAAUCGACCAUCCUGGUGUUUGUUUGUGUUUACUGUUUGUUAUAGGUUACCAGCAAACCCAAGUAGCAUCCAAUCAUUGUGUGGAGUUAUUGAUCUCCAAUGAAUGUUUCAGUGGAGAAAAUAGACUUCUUUAUCAUCUUUUAUUAUAGUUAUUUCUACAUGAUUUUUCUGAUGGUUCACAAUUUUUGGUUUUGGGAUAGCAAGGCUUAUGAGAGAUAAACAGAGAAAUGAGAUUGGAGGUCAUCUUUUCAAUAACACAAAACGAACAAAUGUAACUAAAGUAUCCAGUCUAAUGUUACUAUUAAUGGUGUUUGACACACGUUGCAAUUGUACUUUUUUGCUCUUAGAAUAAUGGGUGCUCAUAAUGCAGGAAAAAUAACUUUCAUCAGGUGCAAGUUGUGUUCUAUCUGAUACAAAACCAUAUAAAUUUAGGCAUUGUAAAAGGAAACAUCAUGGGGACAACAUUGAGAAAAAGUAGUAACUAAUGUCAUUCCACAAAAUCUCCUGAAGAGCUUGUGGAAAUACUGAGAGAUAAUAAUCAUGAUAAGGUGGGUGGUUCAUUUUCGAAAUUGAUGGACACUAUUACGGAUAUGGAGAUCAGACUAGAUAGAUGAUGAUGGUUGACAUGUUUAUCAUGCAGCUCCAACUAACAACUUUUCUCUUUACAUUCUCUUUUGGGACAAAACAACAGUGUUUUGGGUUGCAAAGUAUGGAAAUAAUCUACAUCAACUUAUUGGCUUAGUAGGACUGUGACCUUGGGAAUGUUGGAUUUUUAGUAAAGAGUAUAAGGCAAUUGUGAAGAAAAUAUUGGUAGCUCCUUUCCCA